rnacentral:lncRNA from 1 species
CUGGGAGCCAAAAGAGCAAGUCAGGGAACUAGCUUUGGUUGGGUUCGGUGGUACACAAAGCACAAGGCCUGGGUUGGGGUUAGGAGGAAAUGAGACUUGCGGCGGGUCGGGGCUGAAGAUGUGGCAGCGCCCUGAACCUGGAGAAAGGCUGGUACGUAAACGCCUGCGUCGCAAUCUGGAGUCAGCUGGAGUGUCCCGGCAGGAAUCAAAGCCCUUUGGAGAAAUGGCUGAUUCUAACAUUGGGCCAGGAAAUAUGCAACAUGGAUAUACAAUAAGCCUAAAGCAUCUUGUGAUGCCCGAAAUUAAGGAAGUUCACCAAAUAAAAAAGGACAAAAAUUGAUACUGAUGGAGGUAUGUCAAAGAAACAGAGACACAGGGACCAGCUGAAAAAGUUCCUAGUGGCCAAAGCUGAAAGAAUUUGAGCAACAAAAUAAGUAGUAUUGGAUUAUAACUUGAGGUAUCAAAUAAAUAUCUACAGGCCCAUACUGAUAAUACAAAUAAAUAAUGAAAAUUUGUUAGUAAAUAAAUGGAGGAGAAGAGAAAAAUAUCCCGUGCAGAAGAACUGGAAAUAAUUCAUGUAGCUACUCUGUCCUCAAGGAGGUGGAGCAUAGCUCCCCACUCCUUGUGGGUUGUGAAUAAUGACUUCCUUCCAAAGAGUACAGUAUGAAAACAGGAGAAGAAAGGAGUAACUUUGUGG